rnacentral:rRNA from 1 species
GACGGAGGAUGCAAGCGUUAUCCGGAAUUAUUGGGCGUAAAGCGUCCGCAGGUGGCUGUUCAAGUCUGCUGUCAAAGCGCAGAGCUUAACUCUGUACAGGCGGUGGAAACUGAAGAGCUGGAGGUAGGUAGGGGAGAUCGGAAUUCCUGGUGUAGCGGUGAAAUGCGUAGAGAUCUGGAAGAACACCGAAGGCGAAGGCAGCGUCCUGGGAAGUCACUGACGCUCAUGUGCGAAAGCCAGGGGAGCGAACGGG